GACAGAGGAUGCAAGCGUUAUCCGGAAUGAUUGGGCGUAAAGCGUCUGUAGGUGGCUUUUAAGUCCGCCGUCAAAUCCCAGGCUCAACCCUGGACAGGCGGUGGAAACUACCAAGCUGGAGUACGGUAGGGGCAGAGGGAAUUUCCGGUGGAGCGGUGAAAUGACGUAGAGAUCGGAAAGAACACCAACGGCGAAAGCAACUCUGCUGGGCCGACACUGACACUGAGAGACGAAAGCUAGGGGAGCGAAUGGG
rnacentral:rRNA from 1 species